rnacentral:rRNA from 1 species
GAUGAACGCUGGCGGCGUGCCUAAUACAUGCAAGUCGAGCGAACAGACGAGGAGCUUGCUCCUCUGACGUUAGCGGCGGACGGGUGAGUAACACGUGGAUAACCUACCUAUAAGACUGGGAUAACUUCGGGAAACCGGAGCUAAUACCGGAUAAUAUAUUGAACCGCAUGGUUCAAUAGUGAAAGACGGUUUUGCUGUCACUUAUAGAUGGAUCCGCGCCGCAUUAGCUAGUUGGUAAGGUAACGGCCUACCAAGGCAACGAUGCGUAGCCGACCUGAGAGGGUGAUCGGCCACACUGGAACUGAGACACGGUCCAGACUCCUACGGGAGGCAGCAGUAGGGAAUCUUCCGCAAAGGGCGAAAGCCUGACGGAGCAACGCCGCGUGAGUGAUGAAGGUCUUCGGAUCGUAAAACUCUGUUAUUAGGGAAGAACAAAUGUGUAAGUAACUAUGCACGUCUUGACGGUACCUAAUCAGAAAGCCACGGCCAACUACGUG